UACGUAGGUGGCGAGCGUUAUCCGGAAUCAUUGGGCGUAAAGGGUGCGUAGGUGGCACGAUAAGUCUGUAGUAAAAGGCAGCGGCUCAACCGCUGUUGGCUAUGGAAACUGUCGAGCUGGAGUGCAGAAGAGGGCGAUGGAAUUCCAUGUGUAGCGGUAAAAUGCGUAGAUAUAUGGAGGAACACCAGUGGCGAAGGCGGCCGCCUGGUCUGCAACUGACACUGAAGCACGAAAGCGUGGGGAGCAAAUAGG
rnacentral:rRNA from 2 species